rnacentral:rRNA from 1 species
UACGGAGGGUGCGAGCGUUACCCGGAUUUACUGGGCGUAAAGGGCGUGUAGGCGGUUUUCUAAGUCCGGGGCUAAAGAGCAGGGCUCAACCCUGGGUGUGACUUUGAUACUGGAAAGCUCGACGGCUGGAUGGGGCAGCGGAAUUUCCGGAGUAGCGGUGUAAUUCGCAGAUACCGGGAGUAACGAGAAUAGCGAAGGCAGCUGCCUGGACAGUACGUGACGCCGAGGCGCCAAAGCGUGGGGAGCAAACCGG